AGCUCUGUGGUGAAGUUCAUGUCAGGUUGCAAACCUGAAGACGCAAAUUAAACGUUUGCCGGGGCUU
rnacentral:tRNA from 2 species